rnacentral:misc_RNA from 1 species
GGUGGUUCUUUAUCAGGCUCUUUUGUGGUCUCUACUGCCGCUUUUGAUUUUUCGUCCUCUUCCUGCUGUUUCGGUUUAGAUUCUGGUGGCUUUUCUUUUACUGCUUCUGCUGCUGGGAGUGACUCUGCAUUUGAAUCAGCCCUCGGUUCCUCUGCUGGAGCAGGAGGUGGUGGAGGCGGCGGUAUCUCUUCAUCAUGGUCCAACUAAAAGGUUUUUUCUCCAGACUGUAAUAUAGCAAAACCUCUUCACCCUUCCUCGCAAACUGGGUGGAACUCAACCAGAUUCUUCCAAGAUGAAGAUUCCUUCUAG